UACUUAGGGUGCGAGCGUUGUCCGGAAUUAUUGGGCGUAAAGAGCUCGUAGGCGGUUUGUCACGUCGGAUGUGAAACCCCGGGGCUUAACUCCGGGCCUGCAUUCGAUACGGGCUGACUAGAGUUCGGCAGGGGAGACUGGAAUUCCUGGUGUAGCGGUGAAAUGCGCAGAUAUCAGGAGGAACACCGGUGGCGAAGGCGGGUCUCUGGGCCGAUACUGACGCUGAGGAGCGAAAGCGUGGGGAGCGAACAGG
rnacentral:rRNA from 1 species